rnacentral:rRNA from 1 species
GCACGUUAAAGGGCGUAGGCCGGAGAGUAGGCAAAUCCGCUCUCCAUUAAGGCUGAAACCUGACAGUACCCGGAUUCUCACGAUGAAGGGAUAGUGGAGGUAAUCAUGCUCCCAAGAAAAGCGUCGUAGUUUGUUGGAAGUGCUCGUACCCCAAACCGACACAGGUGGGUGAGGAGAGUAUCCUCAGGUGCUCGAGUAAUUCAUGGCUAAGGAACUAGGCAAAUUAGAUCCGUAACUUCGGGAGAAGGAUCCCCAUCCUAUGGAUGGGCGCAGUGAAAAGGCCCAAGCGACUGUUUACCAAAAACACAUGUCUCUGCUAAGCCGUAAGGCGAUGUAUAGGGACUGACACCUGCCCGGUGCUGGAAGGUUAAGGAAGGUUGUUAGGAUUCGUCCAAAGCAAUUGACUGAAGCCCCAGUAAACGGCGGCCGUAACUAUAACGGUCC